GUUAGAAUGGCUGAGUAUAAUAGGCAAUAGAUUGUAAAUCUAUGUACGGGGGUAAUCCUCUUCUAUC
rnacentral:tRNA from 1 species